rnacentral:rRNA from 1 species
AACGUGUAAGUAACUGUGCACGUCUUGACGGUACCUAAUCAGAAAGCCACGGCUAACUACGUGCCAGCAGCCGCGGUAAUACGUAGGUGGCAAGCGUUAUCCGGAAUUAUUGGGCGUAAAGCGCGCGUAGGCGGUUUCUUAAGUCUGAUGUGAAAGCCCACGGCUCAACCGUGGAGGGUCAUUGGAAACUGGGAAACUUGAGUGCAGAAGAGGAAAGUGGAAUUCCAUGUGUAGCGGUGAAAUGCGCAGAGAUAUGGAGGAACACCAGUGGCGAAGGCGACUUUCUGGUCUGUAACUGACGCUGAUGUGCGAAAGCGUGGGGAUCAAACAGGAUUAGAUACCCUGGUAGUCCACGCCGUAAACGAUGAGUGCUAAGUGUUAGGGGGUUUCCGCCCCUUAGUGCUGCAGCUAACGCAUUAAGCACUCCGCCUGGGGAGUACGACCGCAAGGUUGAAACUCAAAGGAAUUGACG